rnacentral:rRNA from 1 species
AUUGAACGCUGGCGGCAGGCCUAACACAUGCAAGUCGAGCGAGUGGCGGACGGGUGAGUAAUGUGUGGGGAACUGCCCGAUAGAGGGGGAUAACUACUGGAAACGGUGGCUAAUACCGCCUACUAUCGGAUGAACCCAUAUGGGAUUAGCUAGUAGGUGGGGUAAAGGCUCACCUAGGCGACGAUCUCUAGCUGGUCUGAGAGGAUGACCAGCCACACUGGGACUGAGACACGGCCCAGACUCCUACGGGAGGCAGCAGUGGGGAAUAUUGCACAAUGGGCGCAAGCCUGAUGCAGCCAUGCCGCGUGUAUGAAGAAGGCCUUCGGGUUGUAAAGUACUUUCAGCGGGGAGGCGUUACCCGCAGAAGAAGCACCGGCUAACUCCGUGCCAGCCGCCGCGGUAAUAC